CCAAUAGCGUAUAUUAAAGUUGUUGCAGUUAAAAAGCUCGUAGUUGAAUUUCGGGAUUAGUACGUUGGUCGUGCCUUCGGUACGUACUGGCGUUACUGGUUCCUACCUUCUGAGGAACCGUCAUGUCAUUAAUUUGGUGUGGUGGGAAAUCAGGACUGUUACUUUGAAAAAAUUAGAGUGUUUAAAGCAGGCUCGCGCUUGAAUACAUUAGCAUGGAAUAAUGAAAUAGGACGUUCGAUCCUAUUUUGUUGGUUUCUAGGAUUGACGUAAUGAUUAAUAGGGAUAGUUGGGGGCAUUAGUAUUCAAUUGUCAGAGGUGAAAUUCUUGGAUUUAUUGAAGACUAACUACUGCGAAAGCAUUUGCCAAGGAUGUUUUCAUUAAUCAAGAACGAAAGUUAGGGGAUCGAAGACGAUCAGAUACCGUCGUAGUCUUAACCAUAAACUAUGCCGACUAGGGAUCGGAUGAUGUUAUUUUUAAUGACUCAUUCGGCGCCUUACG
rnacentral:rRNA from 1 species